rnacentral:lncRNA from 1 species
AAAAAGGUGAUAAACACAAACACGGAUUCAUAAAAUUUGUACCAAUUAGUUGAUACAAAAUAAUUUGAUUUUGAUCUGUGAUGAUACGAAGUAACAAAUGGUUUUAAGGGUUUUUCUGUUACAAAAGCAUGUGUGUGUAUAAUAUAAUAAUUUGGAGAUUAUGAUUUGUUUAUUAUGGUUUUGAUAAGGAUAAAGGAAAUGAUGAUGUAUGGUAGUUUGAGUAGGUUGACAUCGAAAGAAAGCGUGUAAAUGAUGAGAAAGAAGCAUGUUUUGUGGCGGACUACAUGGGACUCUGAAUCCAUGUGUAUCAAUAGAUGAGGCAAUACUAUAGGUAGCCGUCAUCUACUACCACUUCAAAAAAUGUCGUCU